CACCGGCGGCUCGAGUGGUGGCCACUUUUAUUGGGUCUAAAGCGUCCGUAGCCGGCUUGGCAAGUCCCCUGGGAAAUCUGGCGGCUUAACCGUCAGGCGUCCAGAGGAUACUGCCAGGCUUGGGACCGGGAGAGGUGAGAGGUACCUCAGGGGUAGGGGUGAAAUCUUGUGAUCCCUGAGGGACCACCAGUGGCGAAGGCAGCCCCCUGGGCCUGUACUGACGCUCAUGCACGAAAGCGUGGGGAGCAAACAGG
rnacentral:rRNA from 1 species